ensembl:lncRNA
AUCUUUUGGGUUGAGACUGUAUCUAGAGAAGCUGUGCUGUGUAGCCAGAGGUCUUCUUCACCAGUUGGUUUGUCAGUGUACAGAGCUUAGCUGCUGUCCACUUAAUUUCCCUAUCCGUCUGGUUAUUCUACUUGGGAAAGGCUUUCCCCAAAAGAAAGAGAAGACCCUUUGUCUUUCUCAAAGCAACUGAAUGAAUGAUGUCUUCAUUCUCCUCCUUAAGAUUGCGGUGUGAUCAUCUGUGGUUUCAUCAGGCACAACAUCCACCAUCACCUGUGCACAUAAAAGGCAUUCUUCUACUCCCUUGGUCUUCAGUAAAUUUUGUUUGACUUGAGAAAUCUGUUUAACAGGCAAUAGCUGGCACAGAAAAUAGGGAAGAACAGCAAGAAGAGUAUUUCCUUUAUAAAUGUUUGUAAAGUAAAUCCAUUCUCCUGACAGCUCAUGCAAAGCUUAUUUUUUUUCUCAGAGUCAGAGACCCAAGUGAAAAAAAAGAGUUGUUUGUGUUUGUCAGCCAGAUGAUUCUGUUGGAUCCAAAGGUGUUAAAAUAGUAACAUUUCCACUCCUAACCUUCCCCCAUGCCUCCUUUAAUCAGCAGCUCUGUUUGAAGAAGGAAAUGUACCAGGUGGUGUAAAUUUUAGUAAUAAUUUUUCUCUUGCUGGUUGUCAUCAUAAGAUUUAGCAAAACCAAAAUCAGAUGCAAGAUACUGAAAACAUACUGCUAUAUGCUUUUACUUUGGGCAAGAAAUGUUUUAUUAUACACUUGGCAAAACAAAAUAAAUGGCUGGCUAUGUCUUUAUGCUGUUAUAAAUUUCAUAAUCUGAAGCCACUGUAUGUAUGCAAAGGAUUUGUAAGGAGGGUCUUUUGCAACCGAAAUCACAAAGAUUAACUGGGAUAUUAGUUUAAAGUCAAGAAACAUUGAUUAGUAACUGCAGCAUCUGGAGUAAAUUGGAAUGCGAGCAAGAAAGUUUGCUUGUUAUUCUCCCAGCAUUGCAGGUGCAGGGAUGCAUUUUUUCAGUCCUGUCAAGAAACGAGUCCCUUAGUACAGUCAGGGAGCUGGUUGUCAACAUUCUUUGGGCCAGAAAGCUUAAUUUAAUUGAUUUCUUCUCAAUCAGAAUCUGGUUAUUGAAAUAAAAAAAAUCAGCUGAAC